GAAAAAUUAUAUGUCGCGUGGGCCGUGGAGUUCUGGUCCCGGAUUUCAUUAUAAAUUUUGUUCCAAGGCCGAACAACUCGUGUAAAUUUAAAUUCGGCAAAUUUUUGCUUUGUAGUCAAUCUCAAAUAACAUUCCAGCAUGCUGUCACUUAUUAAUUUUGCAGAUUCCCGCCGCUGAUGUAUUAGUGGAUUGUAAUUUGACUGGCUACCGUUAGGUGGUGAGUAAGUUGAGUAUGUAGUAGCAAGAGAAAUAAACAGAAGCACGCCCACAACGCAAAAGUUGUGUACUUAAACUUGACCCUUGACCUGCGAAUUUCUUAUAUCAGCAAGUCAUAAAAAUAAAAACCGUUGAGAUUGGAUGCAACAAAGUAAAGGUUUGACGAGAAGCAGAUCGAAGAUUCAAAAUUCAAAAUCGCUUCGCUCAAAACUUGCAUAAAAUUAACCUAGAUGCAUCCAAUCCAAAUUAAUAAUGGACAAAAACACUCCAUCCACGGCCACCAUGUCAACUUCUGAUGGAGAAAUUGCACCUGUCUCCAUCGCGAUGGAAUCGGAGGAGGCUGAAGAACUGCCUCAAGAAAAUGGUGUUCAGUCAACCCCAUCGACGGCCACCGUUUCCACCAUUGAUGGAGAAGCCGAAACUGCACCUGUCUCCGACGCGAUGGAAUCCGAGGAGGCUGAACAACUGCCUUAAGAAAAUGGUGUGCAGUCAUCUCCAUCCACGGCCACCGUGUCAACAUCUGAUGGCAACAAGCCCUCCUGUUUCUGGCCAGACAGACGUCGAGGAAAAGGUGCAGGAAAUGAGCCGGCCCAUGAGAAUGGCGGACUUGAGUCUCCUUCAUCGGCCAACCUUUCUACGUCUGAUGGGAACAGCCCUCCUGUUUUUGGCCACAUAGACUCCGAGGAAGAUGGACAUGCAUGGGCUGGCCCAUGAAAAUUGCGGAGUUCAGUCUCCAUCUUUGGCCAACCUCAUCUCGACGGAAAAAUCUCCAUCCUCAGCCACCGACACUGCCAAAAUUCCAUUUGUGUCUGACCACUUUGAGGAAGAUGGACAUCAGCCCACCCAUGAAAAUGGCAGCGUUCAGUCUCAGUCUUUGGCGAACCUUUAGAGGGACAACUCUCCAUCCUCAGCCACCCUCGAUACAUCUGAUGACGAAAUUCCACACCAGAUAGACUCCGAGGAAGCCUGAUAUCGCUUCGUGAAAAUGGAAUUCUGUCUCCAUUCACGGCCACCCUGUCAACAUCUGAUGGCGAAACUAAGUUGUUAUAUUUUUAUGGUUUUUCUGUAUCAAUGUUAACUUAUUUAUAAAAAAAAGCAGAUGCCAGGAUUAAAGAAAUUUUUGGGUACAAAAGACAAUAUACUCCAUUUAAUUAUGUUUUUUACUAGCUGUGAUGGAUUUUGUCAUGUAAUAUUCAAAGAUUCAAAGUUUUUGAUCGUUUCUAAUAAAAAUCGCCUGCAAAC